CCUGGUGCCUCUAGCGGUGGGGGUACACCUGUUCCCAUCCCGAACACAGCAGUUAAGCCCACCAGCGCCGAUGGUAGUUCCCAUUCGGGUGUGAGAGUAGGCCGGUGCCGGGA
rnacentral:rRNA from 3 species